rnacentral:lncRNA from 1 species
CCUCAUAGGCACAGGCACUUUAUGUUAAAAUGGACCAUUCCAGGCACAAAUACUAAUUUGUUUAGUACAUGUCAAAGUGGAACAUCCCAGACAUAACAAAAGAAGACAUUCAUAUCAAGUUAUAAAUACCAUCACAGGAUCAACAAGCCUUGCUAGUGAAAAUUGCAUCAGCUUUGGUACAUAACGGGCAAGGCUAAGUCUGAAGGAGUAUAAUAAUCAUCGCUCAACAAGAAUUGCCAUUAAAAAUUGCAUCGACGUUGAUAUCUUGAUGGCACACGACAGUUGCCUCUAGAUGCAAUGCUUCUUGUUCAUCAAGCUUCUUGUCCUGGGAGAGAUCGGACGGAGCAAAUAUGAUUCAGUUAGUGCAAGUCCGUGUAUGUGUCGUACAUUCAUACUUAAAACUUUUUAAUCAUGGGCUGGUCAAAUGCAUUAACAACACCACCUGACAGUGUUUCAUGCACAUACCACACGGAAGGAAAAAUGGAGAAGAAAUCGCAUUCAUCACAAAUACAAAAGUAUGUUUCUAUGCUGGAAUUCACAGACAAGCCAACUAUUUUGUGGAUAAUCCUAACUUACCAAUAAUGAACAAAUUAUAUAAACAUUAUUUAUCUUGUAUAGGAAAAACCACUCUAGUGCAUUCUAGAGAUUCGCCACAACCGGCAGAAUUAGGCAAUAUAAUUAUUUAAUUGUGCUAUUAGAAAUCCAUCCUUUAUAAAACCUUGGCACUUUCAAAUAGCCUAUUGUAUGUACAAAUAAGAAAAGAGCAUAUCGUACGAUAAAAUGAUGUGUUGAACCCUCGAAGCCAUUGGACAUUUUAAUCACUCAAAACUGGUCAUGAGUUUGACAAGAACAAUAUUAGCAGAGACUCUUCCUAAUAUAACCAGUGAACCAUGUACCAAGUAUAAUAAUAGACACAUCACAAUGUCUAUUCCUGACAUUGUGAAGCAUUAACAAAUAUGUAUGUUUUUCUACACUUACCAUAACAUCAUCACUAUAGUUCUUUUUACUGAAAAGAGCUCAAUAGUUUUUAUUUGGGUACUCCGCUAGGUCAUCUUGUAUGAAAAAUAUCUUGCAAGAUUAUUUGCAAACACACUAGCUUGCAAAAGAAUUGAUCUGGUGCCUUGACAAAAUUUUAACAUGGCUUACAGAUCCACUCAGAAUGACCGCCUGAACAUCCAUGUAUAGACCUAAGAUCAGCAGACAGGGUUGUACAUUCACAUGUGCAACCUGUGGAGCUGCACAGGGCCCCCAUUUUUUCUACGUACAACUUUAGGAAUUAAAGACUAAUGGACCAGUAGACAUCAAAGUAAAAAUGGACUAAGCGGCUGGCUGCUAGACUCCAAGUCAACCACGGAACCACUCCAGGCCCAACUCCCGCCUCCUGCACCUUCUCAAGAAUAAAAAACAUUCACUGGAGCUCCUUAUGGCCUGCCUAAGACUAAUUCUAAGAAAAUUGUACAACUGUACUAGUGAUUACCUUUAUUUCACGAAUGUACUAGGGUUAUACCUUAAUAAAAAAUGUUAUAGGCUUUGUACACAUGGGUCUAAAUUUUGAUUUCGCAAUGGGCCCCGUGUUUAGGAGGUACGGCCCUGUCAGCAGACUACAGGUUUCAACAAUUAUCUAAAAAGCAUAACUUCAUAAGUAGCAACGACGACAAACAAGAAAGGGGUUUUUUUGACUAUCCUACUGAUGCAGAUUAGUGAUGGCAUGCAUUAUAUUAUACCUCGUAAUAACAAGAAAACUACAACAUCUUGAGAGAUAUAAGUGAACAAGAAAAGAGAAAGGCAUGUGUCAUGGAAGAAGAAUUAAUCCUAAAUCAUGAACAUGCAUACUUGCUUUAGUGAUAACAAAGAGGUCAGUCAAAUUGCAAGGCCAAUGGUUUGGCAUGGACAUGACACAUGAUAAGGGUGUAUACUUUCCUACGAAACACGAAUGAAGUCAUGGAAUUUAACAUUGACAGACAUAAGAUACUAAAGUACAUAAAUUUUGAAAGUGUGUGUACCUCUUGAGAGAAUGACUGUUUCUUUUUCGGUGUACUGGAAUCAUCAAUGAGAAGCAUUGAGGAAUUAAUGUUUAUUUUGAGCACUGUCGACAAAUUCCAUGGCUGCAAACAAUUUUUUAGCAAACAACAUCGCACAUAGGAUUAACAGAAUGUCAGGUGCAUCAACAUAUUCUUUACUUUCUUAGACCGAUGUUCUCACCUGAUAGUGUUGGUCCACAUGCUGAGAUAAUUGGAACUAUCAGCUUUACUAAAGGCAACGUCGCACUGCUCCCCUCCAUCACUGGAUCUUGACAUGAAAGUUACAAAGUCAGAAGUGAGAUCAUUGCUUCUAGGCCAGACGUUAGGGAGAAAUUAUGUAGUUUAAACUUUAGUUCCUACUCUACUCCGAUGCCUACCAUCGGAGGAAUACAUCAGUGUGAGAACAUAUAUUUCCGUAAGCAUAACGCCCGAGGAACAAUGUGGACCCAAAGAACACAGGAAAUCAAAUGUCUUCCCUGUGUGACAGUCAUAAUCUCUAUAAAUCCACUGUCCAAAAAUACAGCGGCCUCACACAUGCUUCAGAACCAAAAUACGGACUAACCAGGCUUACAUAUGCUUCAGAAUCAAGACACACAAAAGAGAGGUAUUCAGUAAUAAAGGAGAUGCGUCCAAAAUAUGCCGAAACAAUGGUACAAAAACAGUAGCACAUACAACGAAUUUUUUCCCAUGACACCAGAAUGAUGCUCAUUACCUCAAACUUGAUCUGGUUUGGCAUCUAAAUUUCGUCUACAGCUUUAUCGCAAAAAAAUGGCUACAGCUCCAAAUUGAUCUGCAAUAUAUAUAGGGAAAAUGAGACAAGAUUUCGUGCAUCCAGGAAAGGGAUUGGAGCUUGAGAGGUGGCUCGGUUUGCGGGAAUUUCAUGAGAGAACAAGCAAGGGGGUAGAAGAGGGGCCAUCCGAGGGAGAACAGAUGCACCACACAAGAAAGAGAAUGGCGAGGGGCAAGGGGAGUGAGGAAUUUCUGCAAGGAAGUCAGCCGUGUGGUGGCUCUGCACUCUGUGAAGGAGGGAGGGGGAAGAAAGCUUGAGGACUGGUGGAACUCACCACCAUUGCCAUGGUUACGUCGCCGUUGCAAGGGGGUUCGCGGUCGGGCGGGCGGCGUGCUGUAUCAGCGGCUACUGUCUAAGGAGUAGAUCCUCUAGGAGCUCGCCAAUCAUCGUCGGCGGGCGGCGGCAUCGGCCUGGUGCGGCGGAGGGAUAGGGUUGGAAGGGGC